GACGAACGCUGGCGGCGUGCUUAACACAUGCAAGUCGAACGGUAAGGCUCCAGCUUGCUGGGGUACACGAGUGGCGAACGGGUGAGUAACACGUGGGUGACCUGCCCUGCACUUCGGGAUAAGCCUGGGAAACUGGGUCUAAUACCGGAUAGGACCGCACCGUGAGGGUGUGGUGGAAAGUUUUUUCGGUGUGGGAUGGGCCCGCGGCCUAUCAGCUUGUUGGUGGGGUAAUGGCCUACCAAGGCGGCGACGGGUAGCCGGCCUGAGAGGGUGGACGGCCACAUUGGGACUGAGACACGGCCCAGACUCCUACGGGAGGCAGCAGUGGGGAAUAUUGCACAAUGGGCGGAAGCCUGAUGCAGCGACGCCGCGUGGGGGAUGACGGCCUUCGGGUUGUAAACUCCUUUCACCAUCGACGAAGGGUUUCUGACGGUAGAUGGAGAAGAAGCACCGGCUAACUACGUGCCAGCAGCCGCGGUAAUACGUAGGGUGCGAGCGUUGUCCGGAAUUACUGGGCGUAAAGAGCUCGUAGGUGGUUUGUCGCGUCGUCUGUGAAAUUCCGGGGCUUAACUCCGGGCGUGCAGGCGAUACGGGCAUAACUUGAGUACUGUAGGGGAGACUGGAAUUCCUGGUGUAGCGGUGAAAUGCGCAGAUAUCAGGAGGAACACCGGUGGCGAAGGCGGGUCUCUGGGCAGUAACUGACGCUGAGGAGCGAAAGCAUGGGGAGCGAACAGGAUUAGAUACCCUGGUAGUCCAUGCCGUAAACGGUGGGCGCUAGGUGUGGGUUUCCUUCCACGGGAUCCGUGCCGUAGCUAACGCGUUAAGCGCCCCGCCUGGGGAGUACGGCCGCAAGGCUAAAACUCAAAGGAAUUGACGGGGGCCCGCACAAGCGGCGGAGCAUGUGGAUUAAUUCGAUGCAACGCGAAGAACCUUACCUGGGCUUGACAUAUACAGGAUCGCGCCAGAGAUGGUGUUUCCCUUGUGGUUUGUAUACAGGUGGUGCAUGGUUGUCGUCAGCUCGUGUCGUGAGAUGUUGGGUUAAGUCCCGCAACGAGCGCAACCCUUGUCUUAUGUUGCCAGCACGUUGUGGUGGGGACUCGUAAGAAACUGCCGGGGUUAACUCGGAGGAAGGUGGGGAUGACGUCAAAUCAUCAUGCCCCUUAUGUCCAGGGCUUCACACAUGCUACAAUGGUCGGUACAGUGGGUUGCCAGUCCGUGAGGGCGAGCUAAUCCUGCAAAGCCGGUCUCAGUUCGGAUCGGGGUCUGCAACUCGACCCCGUGAAGUCGGAGUCGCUAGUAAUCGCAGAUCAGCAACGCUGCGGUGAAUACGUUCCCGGGCCU
rnacentral:rRNA from 1 species